rnacentral:rRNA from 1 species
GGGUUGUGAGGUUAAGCGACUAAGCGUACACGGUGGAUGCCCUGGCAGUCAGAGGCGAUGAAGGACGUGCUAAUCUGCGAUAAGCGUCGGUAAGGUGAUAUGAACCGUUAUAACCGGCGAUUUCCGAAUGGGGAAACCCAGUGUGUUUCGACACACUAUCAUUAACUGAAUCCAUAGGUUAAUGAGGCGAACCGGGGGAACUGAAACAUCUAAGUACCCCGAGGAAAAGAAAUCAACCGAGAUUCCCCCAGUAGCGGCGAGCGAACGGGGAGCAGCCCAGAGCCUGAAUCAGUAUGUGUGUUAGUGGAAGCGUCUGGAAAGGCGCGCGAUACAGGGUGACAGCCCCGUACACAAAAAUGCACAUGCUGUGAGCUCGAUGAGUAGGGCGGGACACGUGGUAUCCUGUCUGAAUAUGGGGGGACCAUCCUCCAAGGCUAAAUACUCCUGACUGACCGAUAGUGAACCAGUACCGUGAGGGAAAGGCGAAAAGAACCCCGGCGAGGGGAGUGAAAAAGAACCUGAAACCGUGUACGUACAAGCAGUGGGAGCACGCUUAGGCGUGUGACUGCGUACCUUUUGUAUAAUGGGUCAGCGACUUAUAUUCUGUAGCAAGGUUAACCGAAUAGGGGAGCCGAAGGGAAACCGAGUCUUAACUGGGCGUUAAGUUGCAGGGUAUAGACCCGAAACCCGGUGAUCUAGCCAUGGGCAGGUUGAAGGUUGGGUAACACUAACUGGAGGACCGAACCGACUAAUGUUGAAAAAUUAGCGGAUGACUUGUGGCUGGGGGUGAAAGGCCAAUCAAACCGGGAGAUAGCUGGUUCUCCCCGAAAGCUAUUUAGGUAGCGCCUCGUGAAUUCAUCUCCGGGGGUAGAGCACUGUUUCGGCAAGGGGGUCAUCCCGACUUACCAACCCGAUGCAAACUGCGAAUACCGGAGAAUGUUAUCACGGGAGACACACGGCGGGUGCUAACGUCCGUCGUGAAGAGGGAAACAACCCAGACCGCCAGCUAAGGUCCCAAAGUCAUGGUUAAGUGGGAAACGAUGUGGGAAGGCCCAGACAGCCAGGAUGUUGGCUUAGAAGCAGCCAUCAUUUAAAGAAAGCGUAAUAGCUCACUGGUCGAGUCGGCCUGCGCGGAAGAUGUAACGGGGCUAAACCAUGCACCGAAGCUGCGGCAGCGACACUAUGUGUUGUUGGGUAGGGGAGCGUUCUGUAAGCCUGUGAAGGUGUGCUGUGAGGCAUGCUGGAGGUAUCAGAAGUGCGAAUGCUGACAUAAGUAACGAUAAAGCGGGUGAAAAGCCCGCUCGCCGGAAGACCAAGGGUUCCUGUCCAACGUUAAUCGGGGCAGGGUGAGUCGACCCCUAAGGCGAGGCCGAAAGGCGUAGUCGAUGGGAAACAGGUUAAUAUUCCUGUACUUGGUGUUACUGCGAAGGGGGGACGGAGAAGGCUAUGUUGGCCGGGCGACGGUUGUCCCGGUUUAAGCGUGUAGGCUGGUUUUCCAGGCAAAUCCGGAAAAUCAAGGCUGAGGCGUGAUGACGAGGCACUACGGUGCUGAAGCAACAAAUGCCCUGCUUCCAGGAAAAGCCUCUAAGCAUCAGGUAACAUCAAAUCGUACCCCAAACCGACACAGGUGGUCAGGUAGAGAAUACCAAGGCGCUUGAGAGAACUCGGGUGAAGGAACUAGGCAAAAUGGUGCCGUAACUUCGGGAGAAGGCACGCUGAUAUGUAGGUGAAGUCCCUCGCGGAUGGAGCUGAAAUCAGUCGAAGAUACCAGCUGGCUGCAACUGUUUAUUAAAAACACAGCACUGUGCAAACACGAAAGUGGACGUAUACGGUGUGACGCCUGCCCGGUGCCGGAAGGUUAAUUGAUGGGGUUAGCCGCAAGGCGAAGCUCUUGAUCGAAGCCCCGGUAAACGGCGGCCGUAACUAUAACGGUCCUAAGGUAGCGAAAUUCCUUGUCGGGUAAGUUCCGACCUGCACGAAUGGCGUAAUGAUGGCCAGGCUGUCUCCACCCGAGACUCAGUGAAAUUGAACUCGCUGUGAAGAUGCAGUGUACCCGCGGCAAGACGGAAAGACCCCGUGAACCUUUACUAUAGCUUGACACUGAACAUUGAGCCUUGAUGUGUAGGAUAGGUGGGAGGCUUAGAAGUGUGGACGCCAGUCUGCAUGGAGCCGACCUUGAAAUACCACCCUUUAAUGUUUGAUGUUCUAACGUUGACCCGUAAUCCGGGUUGCGGACAGUGUCUGGUGGGUAGUUUGACUGGGGCGGUCUCCUCCUAAAGAGUAACGGAGGAGCACGAAGGUUGGCUAAUCCUGGUCGGACAUCAGGAGGUUAGUGCAAUGGCAUAAGCCAGCUUGACUGCGAGCGUGACGGCGCGAGCAGGUGCGAAAGCAGGUCAUAGUGAUCCGGUGGUUCUGAAUGGAAGGGCCAUCGCUCAACGGAUAAAAGGUACUCCGGGGAUAACAGGCUGAUACCGCCCAAGAGUUCAUAUCGACGGCGGUGUUUGGCACCUCGAUGUCGGCUCAUCACAUCCUGGGGCUGAAGUAGGUCCCAAGGGUAUGGCUGUUCGCCAUUUAAAGUGGUACGCGAGCUGGGUUUAGAACGUCGUGAGACAGUUCGGUCCCUAUCUGCCGUGGGCGCUGGAGAACUGAGGGGGGCUGCUCCUAGUACGAGAGGACCGGAGUGGACGCAUCACUGGUGUUCGGGUUGUCAUGCCAAUGGCACUGCCCGGUAGCUAAAUGCGGAAGAGAUAAGUGCUGAAAGCAUCUAAGCACGAAACUUGCCCCGAGAUGAGUUCUCCCUGACUCCUUGAGAGUCCUGAAGGAACGUUGAAGACGACGACGUUGAUAGGCCGGGUGUGUAAGCGCAGCGAUGCGUUGAGCUAACCGGUACUAAUGAACCGUGAGGCUUAACCUUACAACGCCGAAGCUGUU